rnacentral:rRNA from 1 species
UCCGGGUUGAUCCUGCCGGACCUGACUGCUAUCGGAUUGGUACUAAGCCAUGCGAGUCGUUGUAGCAAUACAAGGCGGACGGCUCAGUAACACGUAGUCAACCUAACCUAUGGACGUGGAUAACCUCGGGAAACUGAGAAUAAACCGCGAUAGAUCAUUAUGCCUGGAAUGGCUUAUGGUUCAAACAAUUUAUUGCCGUAGGAUGGGACUGCGGCCUAUCAGCUUGUUGGUGAGGUAAUGGCCCACCAAGGCUAUAACAGGUACGGGCUCUGAGAGGAGAAGCCCGGAGAUGGGUACUGAGACACGGACCCAGGCCCUAUGGGGCGCAGCAGGCGAGAAACCUUAGCAAUGUGCGAAAGCACGACUAGGUUAAUCCGAGUGAUUUCUGUUGAAGAAAUCUUUUGUCAGUCGUAAAACCACAGACGAAUAAGGGGUGGGCAAGUCUGGUGUCAGCCGCCGCGGUAAUACCAGCACCUCGAGUGGUCAGGAGGUUUAUUGGGCCUAAAGCAUCCGUAGCCGGCUACGCAAGUCUCCGGUUAAAUCCAGCUGCUCAACAGAUGGGCUGCCGGAGAUACUACAUAGCUAGGGAGCGGGAGAGGUAGACGGUAUUCUGUGGGUAGGGGUAAAAUCCACUGAUCCAUAGAGGACCACCAGUGGCGAAGGCGGUCUACCAGAACGCGUUCGACGGUGAGGGAUGAAAGCUGGGGGAGCAAACCGGAUUAGAUACCCGGGUAGUCCCAGCUGUAAACGAUGCAAACUCGGUGAUGCAUUGGCUUAUGGCCAAUGCAGUGCCGCAGGGAAGCCGUUAAGUUUGCCGCCUGGGAAGUACGGACGCAAGUCUGAAACUUAAAGGAAUUGGCGGGGGAGCA